GACCUUAGAGGUAACAUUCUUGGUAUUAUAAUGGCCGGCUGUCCUCUGGGGUAGAGGAAACUGCAAACUUCUGCUGUUAUAGCUCGAGGCAACAAAUGCCUGGCUUCGUUUCACACUAUUGUAUGGAAUGGAUUAUUACAACUCACUCUCAUGUUGCCCGUUCGUGCGCUCAUCGGUAAUCGUAAACAGAUUGCUCAUAAAUAUUUUCCGGACUUGCUGAAUUCGAGAGUGUCGGCCGCUUACUCGUACUAAAGUUGCGUUGGCCGUGCUAGGGCUUCUGCGCGGUCGCACGUUGUGCCUAGAACCGUUUUGUCAGCGCAUACUGUAUUCAUUCCUUGUAGAUCCUCCAGCCUAAAUAGCAGAACAUGUCUCGAUCUCUUGUUUUCUCUUCUUUCCCCCCCUUUUGUGGGUCAAUGUCUCGACGUAGCCUCGUCCGGAUCAAGCUUCUACUUGUCAGCUCUGUUGUUUCGGAAGGGCGUUUCCCUGUUGCAUGAAAAGGCUGUGUGUCCCUUUGCUAACAAUGAAGUGCCUCAGAUAUCAGUGCUAGCAACUCUCGCAUCAUGUUACGUCCACGUAUGUACAGCACGGUAUAGGAGGAAUGGCAUGACGUUUCCGUCAGAUAGAUUUUUUUCGGCGCGCCUGGCCGAUCAUUCCAUUUCAUGCGACCGUGUAUGCCUCAACGGUACCGUACGAAUCGACUUUAUGUGUAGCUUCUUUAGAUCCGUACUCAACUUUGUAAGAGUCAUUUUCGGCUCCAAGGUGCAAAGUUCACCAUAAUGGC
rnacentral:lncRNA from 1 species